rnacentral:rRNA from 1 species
AUUGAACGCUGGCGGCAUGCCUUACACAUGCAAGUCGAACGGCAGCACGGGUGCUUGCACCUGGUGGCGAGUGGCGAACGGGUGAGUAAUACAUCGGAACAUGUCCUGUAGUGGGGGAUAGCCCGGCGAAAGCCGGAUUAAUACCGCAUACGAUCUACGGAUGAAAGCGGGGGACCUUCGGGCCUCGCGCUAUAGGGUUGGCCGAUGGCUGAUCAGCUAGUUGGUGGGGUAAAGGCCUACCAAGGCGACGAUCAGUAGCUGGUCUGAGAGGACGACCAGCCACACUGGGACUGAGACACGGCCCAGACUCCUACGGGAGGCAGCAGUGGGGAAUUUUGGACAAUGGGCGAAAGCCUGAUCCAGCAAUGCCGCGUGUGUGAAGAAGGCCUUCGGGUUGUAAAGCACUUUUGUCCGGAAAGAAAUCCUUGGCCCUAAUACGGUCGGGGGAUGACGGUACCGGAAGAAUAAGCACCAGCUAACUACGUG